rnacentral:rRNA from 1 species
GCCCAAGAGAUCGGGAUAACACCUGGAAACAGAUGCUAAUACCGGAUAACAACAGAUGAUGCCUAUCAACUGUUUAAAAGAUGGUUCUGCUAUCACUAUUGGAUGGACCUGCGGUGCAUUAGCUAGUUGGUAGGGUAACGGCCUACCAAGGCGAUGAUGCAUAGCCGAGUUGAGAGACUGAUCGGCCACAUUGGGACUGAGACACGGCCCAAACUCCUACGGGAGGCAGCAGUC